CGGGGUGAGUAACGCGUGAGUAACCUGCCUUUCAGAGGGGGACAACAGCUGGAAACGACUGCUAAUACCGCAUAAGCGCACAGGAUCGCAUGAUCCGGUGUGAAAAACUCCGGUGGUAUGAGAUGGACCCGCGUCUGAUUAGCCAGUUGGCAGGGUAACGGCCUACCAAAGCGACGAUCAGUAGCCGACCUGAGAGGGUGACCGGCCACAUUGGGACUGAGACACGGCCCAA
rnacentral:rRNA from 1 species